rnacentral:rRNA from 1 species
AGUGAACGCUGGCGGUAGGCCUAACACAUGCAAGUCGAACGGCAGCACAGUAAGAGCUUGCUCUUACGGGUGGCGAGUGGCGGACGGGUGAGGAAUACAUCGGAAUCUACUUUUUCGUGGGGGAUAACGUAGGGAAACUUACUCUAAUACCGCAUACGACCUACGGGUGAAAGCAGGGGAUCUUCGGACCUUGCGCGAUUGAAUGAGCCGAUGUCGGAUUAGCUAGUUGGCGGGGUAAAGGCCCACCAAGGCGACGAUCCGUAGCUGGUCUGAGAGGAUGAUCAGCCACACUGGAACUGAGACACGGUCCAGACUCCUACGGGAGGCAGCAGUGGGGAAUAUUAGACAAUGGGCGCAAGCCUGAUCCAGCCAUACCGCGUGGGUGAAGAAGGCCUUCGGGUUGUAAAGCCCUUUUGUUGGGAAAGAAAAGCAGCAGGUUAAUACCCCGCUGUUCUGACGGUACCCAAAGAAUAAGCACCGGCUAACUUCGUG